UACGAGGGGUGCAAGCGUUGCUCGGAAUUAUUGGGCGUAAAGGGUAGGUAGGUGGUCUUAUUUGUCUGGGGUGAAAGCCUUGAGCUUAACUCAAGAAGUGCCCCGGAAACGGUGAGACUGGAGUCCUGGAGAGGGUCGUGGAAUUCCCGGUGUAGCGGUGAAAUGCGUAGAGAUCGGGAGGAACACCAGAGGCGAAGGCGGCGACCUGGACAGGCACUGACACUCAACUACGAAAGCGUGGGGAGCAAACAGG
rnacentral:rRNA from 1 species